rfam:Lachancea thermotolerans CBS 6340 chromosome D complete sequence.
UCAUGAUGAUUUCCUUAGAUGACGAGUCUGAUACGGGGUUUUUCUCGCUGAAGACACAACUAUUAUUAUACCAUUCAUGCAUUUCUGACG